ensembl:lncRNA
AUUUCAGUCUUGCCCACUGGGAAUCUUUAUCUUCGUGUCCACCACUGGCUUAGUAGCACGUCCAAAGAUGAUACGGCAUCCACUUGUUUAAUCUAAAAUGGUAUGAAGCUUGUAUGUCUGCUGGCUGAAUGCACGGAAGCGACUUGUCUGUCUUUGUUAAACUCUCCAUCUUCAGACACACAUCCACCAAGAGAAACGCCUGAAAAUUUGGACUGUUGGCAGGAAUUCGAUGCUCCCAUUCCCUGAAAUCAUUGCACCUCCAGGCAAAUUAAGAGAAACAAGAAAAGCAGGAUUUGGAAAUAACCUAACACAGCCCUCCAUCUAGGGGAAGAAACAGUGUCUAGAAUAGAAGAAUGUGAAGGAAGAGGUGUACCCUCAUUAAAUUCAAUAGAAAGCAAAUAUCAGAGUGUUUGUAAGCUCUCAGACAGCUCAUUUUGGGGCAGAGCAGAGGGAGAGCAAGAAGAAGAAGGGAUGCAUCACUCCGAUAUUUCCCCCUGUAUGGCAUCGCUUAUUAAAAUCCUGUUGUCCUGAC